UUGGCAGCGAUACAACCGCACAUGAGGUCUAUGGCUGAGGUACUUUCGAACGUCUGUCGAUGCAGCUAUGUGUAGUAGAAAACCUAAUAAAUGUACAAAAUAUAUGUUAAGGUAACACUUGUGUGCUUUCCAGCGUUGAUUGCGUUCACCUACGGCGAUCUUCCCGAAUGCCACUACACCCACCAGUGCAACAGACACGACAAACAUGCAAUUUGCUUGGAAGGGAUUUGCGUAUGCGUCAACGGUACUCACAGAGACGUCGCCAGCAAAGUUGUCAAGUGCAACCCGGGACGUCAGCUGAAUGACAGCUGCCAUUCAACGUUUGAAUGUGCCAAAGUGGACGACCUGUCGCGCUGCGAUGCUGGCGUUUGUCGUUGUAAGCCAGGCAACCACGAAGUGUCAACUCCUUUGGGUCCCAAGUGUUUUUCAGGCACCACGGCCAAGCCACAGUGUGAUUCGGACCGUCCGUGCUCAUCUCAUGCCUUCAUCUGCACCCCAUGGGGCAUCUGUGACUGCCGCCUCCCGGGCUACAAGGCCGAGCUUCUUUUUUCACGUUGGCAGUGCAUUCAGGAUCCCUUCCUGUUUGAAGAUCGGGGCACCGUGACUUUCCUCAAGGUUUCACCUGUUCCACUACUUGUUGUCGUCAUCAUUGUUGCAUACUUUGGAUACCAGCACAAGGCCAAGUUGCCACCACCCCACCGCACAGUGCGCGAAGUGAAUCGGCUGCAGCAGCGGCGCAUUGUACCUCUGUGGCGCGGUGUCACCUUUCACCCGACCACCAUUGCCACUCAAGGUUCGAGCAGUGCACUUUCACUGAUUCAAUUUUGCCUCAUUUGGUGCCUAGGUCUGCUGGCUGAGUGACAGUAGAAACCAUCAGUAAUUAUUGUCGAACAAAGUCUCUUUGAAAUCUGCUGCAACUUUUAUGAGCGUUUGUAGUAGGGUAAGGCUGGGCAAAAUGAGACACUAGCGCAAAAUGUGACAUUAUGACUUUGCUGCCAUGUAUCCCUAAAACCAAAAGUAAUUUUUUUUCGUCCCCAUUUCACCGAUACAUGCGCAUAGUUUACCAUUACUCUGGAUAAAAAAGUUUGUGAUUGCGUGAAUAACUUGGGUGGGAAAAAAUGGCCGGUGGUUGUCAGUGAGCUCACGACCCACCAAAAAGGGGUGAAACUCUGCUCGAUGAAAUUUUUGGAGCUGUGCAUGAAGCUACUCCAGCGUCACUACAGCAACAGAAGUAUUUAUAUUGUUGCUUUGUACCACUAGCUAUAUGCUGCCAAAAUUUUUGUUCUGCAAGUACCGUGGUUUUUAUGUGCUGUGGGUUAAGUGGGGGAAUUUUAUUAAUUAGGGCAUUUGAAAAGGGCAAAACACAACAAGAAGGCAUUGGCAUUAUGUGUUUUCUAUCAAGCCAAUCGUUUGUUUACGCGCAUUAUACAUUAUAUGCUUUUGUUUAGAAUGGUCUGGACCUACAAGAGAAAAUCAUCUAGAGCUUCCUGGGCUGAAAACAGCAACAGAUACGCACUAGAAGCUGUUCAGGACCAGACUCACUCCAUUCACGCUGCUGCGAGGCUGUUCAUUGUCCCCAAGGAUGUUCUCCAGAGACGCGUGAGAAAAUGGAAAGAGUUUGAAAACCAAGCGCUUCACAAAUGCGUGUUGGGAUCAAAACAAUGAGUUUUAUCUGGCAAACAAGAAAAGAAGCUCAUUGAACAUAUCCUAUGUAUGGAGAGAGCUUUGUUCAUUGAGAUUUCGUACAAGGAUGUGCAAAGGCUAGUUUAUACUUUUUGCAAAGUAAAUGGCAUCAAGCACCCAUUUAACAGGGAAAGACUGGCUUUCUUCUUUCUUGAAGCACCGCAAAGCAAUGCUGUCGGUUCGAAAACCAGAAGGGCUUUCAAUGCUGACAGCUCAGUCACUUUCAAUACUUUGAUGCUCUGGAAUGCAUCAUAACUGAAGAGAAGCUGUCACCCUCUUGAAUAUUCAGUUUAGAUUUUUCUAGAGGUAACAGGUAGGACUGUGUCGGUACUGACAGGUGAAGAGAGAGGGUGGACGGUUAGAGUCAUUUGCUGCACUAUUGCAACCAAGUUGCUUCUUUUUCCUGAGAUGGUAUUACCUCACAAGCACCUUAGACCAUCACUGACAGCACAAGCCAAUGCCUGGCACAAUGCAAUGCGUUUCAGAUGGGUGAACAAAAGUAUUUUUAUACGCUUUUUUUAUACGCUUUUUGAAGCACUUUGUGGAAGUUGACCACAAGAUACUGAUUAUCAUUCCAGCAAUACCAAGAAUUUGGAUACUCUCCAAUAUGCCAGGGACAGCAAGAUCAUUAUGCUGUCCCUUUCUUUGCAAUCAGCACACAAACUACAACCGCUUGAUGUUGGUAUCGAUUGCAGUCCAGGCUGUUUCAAAUUGUACGGCGGUAAUAUUUGCCAAUGGGGUGGUCAUUUUCUUUGAGCAGCAUCACGCAGGCUUGUUUUAAAGCAGUUUUCUUUUAAUAACAGUAAUAUCUCAGCCAUCUUGUGCAUCCAACAUUCGAUAGCCGCCACCAGGCAAACGUUUUAAAGACGAUGAAUUCUAUCAGCUGCAGUGUUUCACUGGCAUAACGGCUGCACGGCUUCCAUCGUUCGUGAUCCGCCGCACCUGGCUGCGUAAUAAUGGGUUGCUUGAAAAAAAUGUGCUAGCUAGCUCGAAAAUUCACCGCUGGAACCGUGCAGUGUGCUUGGAGACUACCCACCAAAAUGGAUUAACCUUUCAGCUUCUGGGCGUAUGCACCGGUGAGUAAAAAACCACUGCAUUACAUUUUCAACUUUGAAUUUCUUUGCAUGCUAGGCAAAUAGAACAGAUUCCUGUAGUCAUUUCUUGAGGUGGAAAAUAAUAAUUAUAUAGUUAUUGCUCUUUAAAGGCAAUUCAAAUGAUGCUCUUGUUAUGUUGCCAUGUUGCUAAAAUUCAUAACAUGGAGUACAGCAUAAAUAAUAAAUAGUAUUGGCUGUUUCUGCGUAAAUAAUACACCAUGAUAAAUUCACUGCACAUUGGCGGCAAAUGUACUUCCGAUGAUACAGUUAGAAUAAUUGCAUUUGAGACAUAAUAAAAUGACUGUGAGCAUCUGGCAGAAACAAUUUUCAUCUAAUCGAGGCUUGACUAAGCGCAGCCCACACAAGGACAACAUUGAAAGAAAUGCACGUGCAAAGCAGUGUUGUGUGUGUUUGUGCUUUUCUGUCAUGGAGCGUUUUGUGCACUAUUCUUAGUCACACAUGAGUCACAAACUCGCCCACACUUCCGCCACAGUAAGUGAGGCUCUUUUUUCUUUCGACUCCAGCCUCCAAGACGCUGCUCAUAUUUGCUCACCCCUUUGGACUCUGUUGUCUCUGGACGUACAAGUCAACAGCGAAUGUGUAACCCCUGGAAGUAACAUCAAAGACCAGAAUCCUCACAAUGUAUUUUUUCUGAACACUUCACUGAGAACUGUGAUUUGUUCAUUUAUUGGACUAACUUUUGUUGCACCAUUUUCUGCUUGCGUGUUUGUCAUUGCUUCAUCAUUACUCUUUUCAGGAAGAUGGACAAAAGAGAUAUUAUUGGUCUGCAAGCUGCCAACGCCAAGCCUUAAUAAGCUCAGUGGUCACCAUAUUGACAACAGCAGCCCAACCCCAGUUGUCCUCUUCUUCCACUGUGGCCCGUGCUGUCCCCAGUGUUCCUCAGCCACGGCCCCCAUCGAUUCGUAUCAUCGUUCCGCAGCAGCCUGCGGGUGACCUGUCACC